rfam:Endozoicomonas numazuensis strain DSM 25634 scaffold00013, whole genome shotgun sequence.
AAAGCCCUUCAUCCGGUAAGGUCUAGCAAACCGCCGGAACCCCGAGUCAUGGGCGGUUGUCAGUAAUGACAAUGGUUAAGCGUUGACAGGGGAAGAUGCAGGCUCAGUAUUGAGCUCCGAAACCAUUAUCGAGAACGCCGACCACGUUGGGUGAUUGGGAAGGCAAUACAACAAGAGUGCGUUACUGCAAGUGCCCUUGUUGGUUCUCCGGAGUCGUUAGACCU